AAGUCGUAACAAGGUUUCCGUAGGUGAACCUGCGGAAGGAUCAUUAUUGAAUUAAAUUGGUAGAGGUUGUUGCUGGCUUUUAAAAGCAAGUGCACACCUCUCCAUCUUUAUUUUCCCUUGUGCACAUUUUGUAGUCUUUAUGAUUAAAAAUAGCUAAUGUUCGAGUCUAACUCGGUUGAGGAGUUGCUGUGCGUAAGCUGGCUCUCCUUGUAAGCUAUCAAUAAUAAUAAAGUCUAUGUUUUACUAUACCCAAAUGAAUGUUACAAGAAUGUAAUCAAUGGACUUAGUUGUCUAUAAAACAAAUACAACUUUCAGCAACGGAUCUCUUGGCUCUC
rnacentral:misc_RNA from 1 species